GCCGGGCAUGGUGGCGCAUGCCUGUAGUCCCAGCUACUUGGGAGGCUGAGACAGGAGAAUUACUUGAACCCGGGAGGCAGAGGUUGCAGUGAGUCGGGAUCACACCACUGCACUCCAGCCUGGGCUACAGAGCAAGACUCCGUCUCAA
rnacentral:SRP_RNA from 1 species